UUGGAUGAAGACUCUCAGCUCCUCCAGCACCAUAGUUACUUGCCUGGACACUGCUGUGUUUCCUGCCAUGAUGAUAAUGGACAGAACUUCUGAACCUGUAAGCCAACCCCAAUUAAGCAUUGUCCUUAUAAGCGUUGCCUUGGUCAUGGUGUCUGUUCACAGCAGUAAAACCCUAAGACAGGUUCACUCCUGAUGUGUUCAUUGGCCAUGGGUUCCUGGUCAGAAUUACAGUACCAGGUAUCCAUUUUCUCUUGUGGAUUGGCCUUAAAGUUAAAGAGUAGGGUGAUUGGUUGCCUCCAUGACAAUCUAUAGCACUAUAGCACACAUGGGACUCUCUUGACAUACAAGUCAUUAAAGGAGCCCAUGGUGUUCAUAUCUGGGUAAAACUACUGAUGAUAUCUCCUACGUACUUAGCAACCUGCAUAGCACAUUCCAGUUCUCCUAAAGGUCACCAGCAGGAAGGAAGCUUCCAAUUGAGUAGCAGCUUGAUUUCUUCAUGUCCUGUGGUCAGAGUGUAUGGUGUCUUCAGCAAUAGCGUUUUGCCACCAAGCACUGGUGGACAACCAACAAUGGUGGUGAUAGCCUGUGGUAUUUGGGGGGGGCUGUCUCUGAACUAUUUGUAUUUUUAAAAGAAUAAGUACAUUCUUUUUAUUCUUGACCAAAAAAAGUGGAAAAACUGACCUUUCAUAAGGUGUGCUUUUAUGUAUUUAUAUAUUGUCAUUUAGGGAUACACACACACACACACACACACAUAUAUAUAUAUAUAUAUACAUGGGGGAGGUCAGAGGACAACUUGCAGAGGUUGGUUCUUUCCUUCCAGCAAUGUGAGUCCUGAGGAUUGAACUCAGGUUGACAGGCUCAGAGGAAGAACACUUAGUCACUGAGCCACCUUGCUGACUCUUACUUUGGUUUCCUGAAAUAGAGUCUAGGCUUGUCUGAAACUUGCUAUGUAGUUCCAGUUGGCCUUCUGUUCAAAUCCAGCCUCUGUCCUCGGAGUGAUAGGAUUCCAGUUACACUCUGUCACCCUCAGUUGGACGCACUUGUUUGAAGUAGCUCUAUGAAACGGGAGGUUUUCUGCAGUUUGCCUUCCUGGAAAGUCCCCAUUUCUAGUUUGAACAGAUGCCGAUGUUCCUCAGCUGGCACCAUGGGCUUUAUGGUAAGUGAACUGGGGAGGCUGAGAAAAGCCUGAGGCGGGCAGUGACAGGGUCUGGCUUAUGCCACAGUAUCCACAGGAAAUAGCAGAGCCGUGACUGUAUGAGAUACGCACGGGAUAACAAAACCAACCACAUACAGUCAAGUUAUAAUCAGCACAACAGUAAAGAUUGUGGAACCGUGUGUUUGAGUUCUCAAACAAGACUUCUCAAGCAAACCUUCCAUUCUGUCAGAAUUCCAGUCUGCCCCAGGGAACCGGCUCCGAUUGGCCGAGCUCCGGGUGCAGCUUAAUUUCCAUUUGUGAAGUUCUAGUGCCACCUUGUGAUCCCUUGUCGCGUGUUUGUACGUUUUUUAACCAAGCACACAACAGCAUACUCGUGGUUUCUGCCUUCUGUUUGGUGAAAAUGCAAUCACAAAUACCUAAAUAUAUAUGUCAAAAUUAAAUUCAUCCAUUUGUUUUGGGGGAGGAACACAUAUGGAGGUCAGAGGUCAGCUUCUAGGGGUUGGUUCUCUCUUUCCAGACCUGGGGCUCCGGCUCAGGGCAUGAGGCUUGUUGGCAAGUGUUUUUAUCUGCCGAGCCUUCUCACCAUCACCGUGUGUGUGUGUGUGUGUGUGUGUGUGUGUGUGUGUGUGUGUGUGUGAAUAUGUACAUAUUUGAGGCAGGGUCCCAGGCAGUCCACACACACCUCAAACUCUUGGAUUCCUGAUCCUCCUGCCUCCACUGCCCAGGUGUUGGGGUUACAGGCAUGGACCAACAAGUCCAGUUCCUGAAUUCUGCCAGGCUGGGAUUGAACUCAGAGCUCUGCACAUACAAGCAAAUGGCCCGAACAGGCAACCAUUGAAAACAAUACUUUGAACUGGGUACAGUGGUGCAUGCCUGGAAUACCAACACUUGAGACUUUAAGGACCAUGCCUGGAAACCGCAGGAAGUUCGAGACCUGCCUGAGUAACAUAAGACCCUUCCUGCAAGGUGUCAUGUCGCACAGGAUGGCUUGGAACUCGAUAUGCAAAUGAGCACCACCUCAAACCCCAGGUUUUCCUGCCUCUACCACUCAGCUGCUGGGAUUACUGACUCGGGACCACCAUGUUCAGCUUUUGUGAUGCCAGGCACACAUGCCAGGGCUUCAAGCUGCUGGGCAGGCAGCCACCUGAGCCACGCUCCCAGCCCCUCAAGGCCACUCUAAGCUGUACUUUCUCUGAUAGUCUUUAAGUCUGGCAGGUGCCCAAGAGCAGAUGUUUGCAUCAAUAGACAUCAGUAGCCAGUGUUGGCUUAGUAUACGUGAGGAUGUUGUGCAUCAGGAAGACCCACGUCUUACCAUGUUGAAGCCCAGAAGCUUCUGCAGG